rnacentral:lncRNA from 1 species
UUUCUUUGCCCUAGCUGAGCUUUUCUUAGAAGUUGAAUGGAAAUGGCAGUUGCUGAGUUUAGGUAGCGUGUGCUAAGGGAAUAGAUACUAUUUUCAAAACUUGGGAAUGAUUUAUCAUUAAUGGGGCUCUUUCUUUUAAAAGGGCAGACAUUAUUUUUAUUUCUUUUAUUUUUUCUUUUAAUUGCCAUAAUUUCUCAAGAGUCCAAAUCCCUAAUUUUCC